GAAAUGCGAUAAGUAAUGUGAAUUGCAGAAUUCCGUGAAUCAUCGAAUCUUUGAACGCACAUUGCGCCCCCUGGCAUUCCGGGGGGCAUGCCUGUCCGAGCGUCAUUUCUGCCCUCAAGCACGGCUUGUGUGUUGGGUGUGGUCCCCCCUUCCCCGGGGGGACCUGCCCGAAAGGCAGCGGCGACGCCCGCCUAGGUCCUCGAGCGUAUGGGGCUUUGUCACCCGCUCGGGAGGGGCCUGCGGGCGUUGGUCAUCCCUCAUCAUUUUUCCACGGUUGACCUCGGAUCAGGUAGGAGUUACCCGCUGAACUUAA
rnacentral:misc_RNA from 1 species